CCAACGGCCCUCUUUAGGGCCACAAUCAUUCAAAUAAUCCAAAAU
rnacentral:ncRNA from 13 species